rnacentral:ncRNA from 1 species
UGACACGCGAUGAAGAGAAAAAGUAGGUGGCGAAUCUUUUCACAGAGAGCUUCGAUACGGUGAAAGAAGCAAAGAAAUGCUAUCCGAAAAAUGGCCUUGGAGCGGCAUACUGAGUUUUCGCAGGGACUCUGCUAGUCCAUUCCCAGCACCGAAUCAGCUAGGCUAUGACGAGUAAUGGUUCUCGUUAUAAAAACCACAGUAUAAGAGCUAUUGGAAGCUCCGUACUUGCAGAGACUAAUGAUGUGAAUUAUUAGUAAAAUUAGGUGGUACCACGUGGAUUAUACCCUCGUCCUGAUG